rnacentral:misc_RNA from 1 species
ACAUAGUUCCAUAAUGUUGGCAACGGUGACACCGGUGGCAGACGACGUCCACUAAUCAUCGUGACGAGAUUAUCUUUCACUGAACUUAUGUGUCCAUGUUUAACCAUGUCCAACGCUCAUAUCGAAGCCUUUAUAUGUUAAAGGAUGGAUGAAGUGACUAAAGUAAAUGCGUGACUCUCUGUGGCUGCUAUGUUGUGAUUCAGAAAGCAAGAUGGAUACAUGGCUGCAGACUUGCCUCUUGCUCUGCCUGUAUGGCUUCUUCAAGGAGAUGAGGCCAUCUGAACCCUUCCUUACUGAAUACUUGAUGGGACCACAGCAAAACCUCACUUCCGACCAGGUGACUUAUGAUGUGUACCCAGUGUGGACAUAUUCCUACCUCGCUCUUCUGAUUGUAGUAUUCCUGCUGACUGACUUGUUGAGGUACAAGCCAGUCAUUGUUUUCGAGGGUAUUGGUUAUGUUAUCACGUGGAGUCUUCUGCUAUGGGCUCGGGGCGUCAGGGCAAUGCAGUUUAUGGAGUUCACGUACGGUAUUGCCACAUCCACUGAAGUAGCGUACUUUACCUAUAUCUAUGCAAAGGUGGCCUCCAAGUUUUAUCAAAGAGUGACGAGCUACACCCGUGCUGCCCUGCUCGCUGGCAGGUUCAUGUCUGGUAUACUUGCACAGGUGCUGACAUCAACAAGACUGAUGGACUACCACACUCUAAACUACAUCUCCCUUACAAGCGUUUCAGUGGCCUUCAUAAUAGCGUGUUGUCUUCCAGCAGUUUCAACCAGCAUUUACUUCCACCGUCAACAGUAUCUCACGACUAAUGAAGGAGAGAGUAGCGUGCGUCUCACUGACAUUAAUUCAAAAGAAUCACUUCAUGCAAAAAUAACAAAGGUUGCCGGAUUCGUCUGGAAUGACUUUAAAAGUGCAUACACCAACAAAUAUUUGCUUAAGUGGUCCAUUUGGUGGGCUUUUGCCACGUGUGGAAAUUACCAGGUGGGUAAUUAUAUCCAGCCUCUGUGGGAGAGUAUUGCUCCAAUGGAUCAAAAUGAUCAGUUGUACAAUGGAGCAGUGGAGGCAAUACAAACAUUGCUCAGUUCUUUGGCAGCAUUCAGUGUGGGUUAUAUUCACUUCAACUGGGAGCUGUUUGGUGAGGGAACACUUGCCAUUAUCUCCUUGCUUGAUGGUCUUCUUCUGCUCUUCAUGGGUUUAUCAUCAUCCAUCAUAGUGGGUUACCUCAACUAUAUCCUCUUCAGAAUUUCUUACCAAGUUCUUAUUACCAUUGCCAGUUAUCAAGUUGCCAAACAACUGACAGCUGAUAGUUAUGGUUUGGUGUUUGGCAUCAACAUGUUUGCAUCACUGCUCCUCCAGUCAGUGCUCACCUUUGUGGUUGUGGAGACUUUGGAAGUUGAAUCAUCAACUCAGUUCAUCAUUUACGGUUCUUACUACAUGAUCCUUGCUCUCGUCUUCUUCCUGCUUUCGACAUAUACAUGUGCAAAGUUGGGCUGUGAUGGGAUUAGAGAAAUUGACGUGUGGGAGCCACAGCCAGAUUGUUCAAACCAAGAGCCUCCUUUGGGAACUACAGAAGCAGUUUAGGACAAACUCUGCUGUUGUGACUUUCCCUGUACAGCACAGUAUACUGUACUGUACUGUAUAUAAAUUAAUUUGGUUAAAGGGUCCUUGAUUACCUUCCUGGAGAAUCAAAAUUUUAGAACAGAAAGUGGAGAAAUGGUGAAAACAGUGAGACCAAUGGCAGAUAUCCAGGAGAAGGAGGAAGUGAAGGUGGCAGUCAACAGGAUGAAGAGAGGGAAGCUAUAGACCAUUAAAUGUAUUAGUGCACUAGGUGAGGGUGUUGAGGGGCUGUUGGGUCAAGGGCAGUAGACCUUUGGAGUGAUGGAAAGAUACUGGAGGAAAAGUAAGAUACAGUAAUGCCAAUAUACAGACAUAGGGUGACAUCAUGAAGAAAAAAUUUAGCUGAUGGAACAUAGACUUUGAAGGCAUUGGUAGACCAUAGGUUUAGGGAAAUAGUGAACAGUGACGAUAUGCAGUCUAUAUUUGUGAAAGGGAAAAGAAAGGAAAAGUGGUUGUUAUGUACAUCAUAUUAGAAAUCCAGGAGAAAGAUUCUGAGGGAAGCAAUAUUUCUUAUUUGUAGAUCUGGAGAAGUUACAUGACAGAAUCCUAAAAGGAGUGGUGGACAGUCAAUGGGGUACCAGGGGAAAAGGGAUCACGGCCCUAGACGGCACUUUCUAAUGGGUGACAUUUUGGGGGUGUAAAUUAAGAUUUGAAUAAGUGGCAAAGCUUUUAAAUUUUUCAAUAAGGCAAGAAUCCUAAUGCCAUAGUAAUGUGUCUUUCACCGUAAAAGAUAUUUUCCGCAUAAAGCAAAGGACUUAUUUGCCUCAAAUCUAAGUCAGUAGGAAAGACAUCAUCCACAGUACUUAACCUUUGCAUGGCCAGGGACAGAGAUAGUGCCCCCCCCCCUUCUUCCUUGAAUAUCUUUCAUUAAAAUAUAUUUUAGAAGCUGCUAUUCUCAGUAGAUGUACGUAGCAUGAAAUGUUUUCCAUCAGAAAAUGCUGACUACAAGUAUCAACAACCUCCAUGACCUUAACGUUGACCCAAAAACAGCAGCAGGUCAAGGAACAAGAACCUGUUUCAUUGCCUUAGUCUGGUAUGUUAGUGCAAGUCUAGUUAGAAAUUUUUGGAAAUAAAAUUUUGCAGAAAACAAUGCACAUUGCAAAUGCUCUCAAUGCACUAUUUUCAAUGCUAUUCAUGAGAAAAAUACCCAAAGUGAUUGUAUUGUGCAAGGUUUCACAGAAAGAAAUUACACACACUACUGUGUCGGCUACAAAUGCGGAAAUCCAACACUGGCCCCAACUUUUCACAAACUUUUAAUUGUGAUUAAAUACACGUUAAAAAUAUUUAUAAAGUUUGAGUACAAUUUGGUAGAAAAAAAUCUUGUCCAUUGAAUAACAUUAAUUUUCUAGAUGAUUCAACCAGUAGGUCUGAAGUUAGACAGGGAUGCAUGCUGCUCAAACUUCUGUCAGUACUAUCACCUUCUCUGGUACUCUUAACCACAUACACUUUUCUCUUACGGUAUCCUCUUUUCCACUGGUUGGCUCAUUAGUCACUUGGGCGGUCGGUCACAUCUCUGUUACGCACUGUGAGCAAUUACUGGGCAUGUAUUGGCUCCUGAAUGUAUCUGUACAUAUGCCAGUGUGGAGUGAACAUCUGCCAGCUCCAGGUAUGGACACUCGACUGAGUAGUGCCCUCUGAGAUGUUUAUAAGCUUCAGUUAGGUCACCCCUUGCCCAUCUAUAGUAUAAGCUUGGCGGUUGCAGGCAUUCUAAUCUCUUUGGGUAACUGAGGCGCUGUACUGCAGGCACCAGUCUGGUGGCCCUCCUUUGGACUUUUUCAGUCAAUUGACAGUCUCUAGCAUAUCUCGAGGACCAGACGGGGUUACAGUGCGCCAGACAGGGAAGCACCUCACUUUUGAAGAGCGUACGAGGGACAGACGUAGAUAUCUGAACGACCUUCUUAUGCACCUUCUUUUCUUCUUCCACACAUGAAGGGGUUUUCUUAAAAAGCAUCUCCCUGUUAAAGCCAAAGACAUUGGCCAUACUGUACUGUACUGUACUGUACAAGCACCAACUAGCAAAAUGCUGACAAUCUCUCAGGUCUUGUCUUUGCUUUUAUUUUUAUUCUACAUCUACAAUUAUUAACCUGAAUUUACCUAAUUUAUUUGUCUACCUAAUUACAUGGAUGUAAAACUGUACCAUUCCAUGCUUAAUUUUUAUAUACAGUAUUCUUGUUUGUAUACUGUACUGUAUAUGACCCUAUUUAUAAUAACUGUAACAGACAAAUGAUGUGCUCUAUUUUAUUUAAAAGUUGAGUAUGAAGCUGAUACAAAUAUUAACAAUAAUUCUUAAAGAUUUUAGGAGAUGUGUUUUGGACAAAUACUGUACAUUAGAAGUUGAGAUACAUGAAUGGGACUAAUUACUUUAUUUGUAGCUUAUUAAGUUUUAAAAGAAUUAUUGCAGUGAUAAAGUAGACUAGAAGUUUGUUAAUUAUUUGAAUAGCAUGAAUGAUAAGAAAGGAUUAUAGAGAAUGUGUGUGAUAAAAGUGAGAUGUGAAUAAGAAGGUUAUGUGAAAGGGGAGAAUGUUGGCUGGGUCUCCCUGUGUGAUGACCUUCAAGAGACAAUUGUACAAGUGUAGUGAAAAGAAAGAUAUGUUUAAUAAAAUUCUGAAAAUACUGUACUCUAUGUUGUAAAUCCACUAACUAUAGUGAGAUACAGGCAGGUGAAGACAUUGAGCAGACUUAUAUGGAUAUGCAUAAAUUUAUAGACUACAACAGCAUACCAAUACAUACUAUACAGUAUACUAUCGGAACAUUUAUAUACUUUUUCAUGAAAUUAUAAUUACGUACCAUAAUUAAUUAAAACAGUUGUGUUAAUGUUACGUUAUCUUUUUGUGGUUGAGCAGAAGAGAAACUUGCCCUAAUUGGUGUAAGCUUGUAGCUACACAUAUAUUUUUUUAGAUAUGCCUCUUAAAAUAGCUAGAGCUUAAACAAUAUUUAGAAUGCUAUUUGCAGGGUGUAUGUACAAUAGUACAGUACUGUGUAAAAACACUGUACAGUAGCAACACAUGGCUGUGCUUGGAGAUCCUUAAGUUUUGUACAAGAAUGUACACUGUACUGUACUGUACUGCACAAGUUAUAAGUACUUUAUACAAUAGUGCAAUAUAUGUAUCAUAAUAAAUUAGCAAUGUGUGGAGAAUAACCAAGGAUAAAAUUAUAGUAAUGUACACCUUUGUGAGCAGUGUGUGGUUAGCUGUGGGUGCUGUAUACAGAAGGUGUUUGGGGAAAUUCCUGGGCUUGCAGUAG